rnacentral:rRNA from 1 species
UACGGAGGGGGCCAGCGUUGCUCGGAAUUACUGGGCGUAAAGGGCUUGUAGGCGGUCUGAUAAGUCCUGUGUGAAAUCCCUUGGCUUAACCAAGGAACUGCGCCGGAUACUGUCGGACUAGAGGCCGGGAGAGGGAAGCGGAAUUCCCAGUGUAGCGGUGAAAUGCGUAGAUAUUGGGAGGAACACCGGUGGCGAAGGCGGCUUCCUGGACCGGUUCUGACGCUGAAAAGCGAAAGCUAGGGUAGCAAAC